UAAUGGCUGCAUUGUCACCUCGGUCACUUUAAAAUAUGGGCUCCACAUUUCACCUUCCCCUCACACCACAUAUAUUUACACGAUGCAAUAAAAGAUUGUAUGUCAAUCUCAUGCCUUGUUUUGAAAUCGAUUAAGUAAAAAAUGGUACCCUUAUGUGUGCACUUGCCAGAGAGGUGCAUUCAAUACUUCCCUACUUGAGGGGAUCGCAUAUACUAAAUUAAAAUGCAGUGAUCACAUCACAAAUUAUAAAUUGUUUUCUUAAUUUACACACACCGUACACCUGCUUUCCCAAAUCGGCAUUACCAUAUCACCAUAUAUCCAACCUUUAGGCGCAACAGGCAACCUACAAUUGGAGUGAUGGUUUAGUAAGAAAGAACAUUUAGCACAAAGAAAGAUGAAUUUUGAAAGAAAAAAACUUAGAAAAAAUUGAUGCUCGACUCACUACUAAUACCAUCUAAUAAUAUGCAAGAUAGUAAUAAGAGGUCAAGCCAAUCAAGUGAAAGACGUUUGAACUGGAAUUAGACACAUUGUACAUCAUCAAUCAUUAGGAGCUGGACCCCAUAGAAUCUUUUCGGGUUCAGUUGUAUGAUUAGAAUUUGGCUUCAAACUAACUAAACUAAAGAGUUUUUUUUUCUUGUCCACCCUUCAGUUGCCAAAUUAUGAUUCAUAAAGUUAUAGCGCAUCUUGGAAAUGUUAUAAUAGUUUUGGUUACACGGUUCAUGAUAUACCUAUGGAUAUUAUACUGACUGAUAGUCCAUGGUUCAUUUGAGCUCACUUUGGCGCGAAUGCAGUGAUGAAGGUUCGACAUGCAGUUUCGGAUUUCCCUUCUCAUUCAGUGCAGCUUCCCUCAUGAUGUAUGCCACAUGCUAAUAUGAACUUUCUCAUUGUAUAUAAAUUUUCAUGAGAGAAAAAGAGAAAAGAUGCUCCAGUUUUCCUUGCAGCUCAAUUUUCACACCCUUCCCAGGUUAAUAUUCACUAUUUUCUUUGGACCAUCUUUAUGCUGCCUUUUCUCUGUACACACCUCAUCAAAACUGAACAAAGAGGCAUCACAUAGGUUUAGAUGGCGCGUGUGAACAUGGUUUAAGAUAUGAUGUUUCUUGGAGAGAGCAAACUUACCUUUUCCAUUUCAUGGUUUAUUAACUAAAAUAUUGAUCGACGGCACAUUCUGAUGCUUCAGCUUUGUUUUUGCCUUCUUGUCACUUAAUUAGGCACUAUAGUAAGAAAGCAUACUGAAUGAGACUCGAAGGAAUUUUGAUGUCAACUUGUAAUUAGCAAAACUUAAAAUGAUCUCUUUAAACAAGUAUCAGAUUAAAGAAACCAAUAUAGAACCAUAUUAAAUAGGGACUGAGCUUAGCUGGAAGGUGAGAAAGAAAUUACAAUUGCUAUUGGUGCAACAUUACAAAAUUUAGCUUAGCUAUCUAUCAGAUUUCUUGACUCAAAUUCCAGCUAGCAAAGAAGAAGAAUGAAUCCCCAGAAAAACCAUGCUAAACGAAAUAGAGACUCAUCGAUUGACCUCAAUCACAUUAUUUGUUAAAUAGAGACUGAGCAAAGAGGGAAGGUCAGAAAGAAAUUACAAUUGCUAUUGGUGCAACAAUACAAAUUUUAGCUUAGCUAUCUAUCAGAUUUCUUGACGCAAAUUCUAGCAAGCAAAGACGAAGAUUGAAUCCCCAAAAAUCCAUGCUAAACCAAAUAGAGACUCAUUGAUUUACCUCAAUUAAAUUGUUUAUAAAACAUUGUACAUGAACUUGUUUUAAAUACAUGACAAAAUCUAGCUGAGCUAAACCUUCCUGGAAUCUUAUGUGGAUUUUUAGAGUUUAGACCAAGGAGAAAUGGGGAAAUAAUUCAUGAUAGAGGGUAGUGCAUGCAGGAGCCUCCGAAUAGCGGGUAGCCUAGCGAGGUUUGUAGGAAAAAGGUGGCUUUUGUCUCAUCAGUGAGUUUGUUGCCCAAUGCCCGUGCUACUGAUAUAAUGUCGUUCAUGACAUACCUCGCCCAGUUCCAAUUUGGGAUGUCAUCUAAAUUUUCAAGAGCCACAAAAUAUGCUGGAAGAAUAACUACAGAUCAAAUGGACCUCAAACUUUAUCUCACCGUGAACACCACAUAAAUCACAUUCUAACAUGGAGGCCUCAGCCAUCGCCAAGGCAUCUCAUGGAACAUGGGGGAAACUCCAAAUCGAACAGAGCAACACAAAAAUAGGAAUCAGGCAUGAGGAAAGGGGAAUAAGCUAACCUGGGUAAUGGGAUCAGCAGGUCGAGGAGGGUGCCACCGUGCCAGCGGCCUCCACAAGGAUAAUCUUGCACACGAUGUCGCCUCAAGCAAUGGAUCGCAACCACCAGAACCGAAGCACUUGUUGUUCAUGGUUUCAGUUAUGAGAUAUCCCGUCAACUGAGGUACAAAUCACAAAUAGGUCAGCUCACGAGCUAAAGAAUAUAAUCUUAUCCAAGAAAAGACAAAAUAGUCCAGAGCAGCAAAGCUUUAUUAAGUUCUUUACUAAGAAAGCGAACUUAGUAAUUACAGCCCAAACAGAGAAUAAAUGGUUUAGAACAGGCAUAAAUCUGAUCCAUCUUCCAUCAUCAAUAAUAAAGAUAGGAAAUCUUGAAAUCCUUGAUCCAAACAUCAGAAGUCACAAAAGUCGAAGCAAACAGUGAACUGAAAAUUACUCCGAAAAAAACUUUUAUUUUGUUGACUCUAGACGAAGCCCAUGCUUUGUUGUCCUGGCAAUACAACAAAUUACUGGCCCAAGCUUGAAGUACUAACAAGAACGAAUCCCUUUCGUUAUUAAUUCAUUCAAUGAACAGCAGAGAAAAUGGAUGCUUGUGCAGGCAUCGUAAUGAAUGGUACUUGAUUUAGAGAAAUAACUAUGCUAAUAUAUGACUUCGCUAACUAAUCAAUCUGCUGCAAUCACAGUUGGUGCAUAACACUAAACGAGCACUUGUGAUCAGGGCAACGGUUAUAGAUAAGUAAAGAGAAAUUACAAAACAAGGUAUGACGAGACUACCAAAUCAGCCUGAGAAAGUAGAAAGUAGGAUCAACGGAAACAUAACAAAGGAAACAGAAUAAUGAAUAUUUAGUGGAGAUGAGCUAGUUGAACCUACAGGCCAGAGGAAGAGCUCACCGGAAGGUUAGGCCAGCGAAUUUGGGACCGAUCCCUAGAAGGAAGAAGCGAAGAACUAAAGAACACAUCUUGUUCACGCCUAACUAUGUUGUGCAAUUGUGCCGAUGGCCUCGUCGUCUAAGGCAAAUACAUGUCUCCAUCAUAAAUCAAAAGCGUGAACUGGGAGGACUUCUGCAAUUGCUAAGCGAAUCAUGCAUACAACCAUGACAGUGGCUACAAAUUUGAGUUUCUUCACCUCCCGAUGCAAUUACAACAUAUGAUUAUGCACAUAUAUAAUAGUAGUAUGAUGGAUUAACUACCAUCAAGAAGAGAACAUAAACUGACAGAUUUUCCGGUAAAAAAAACUGGCUGCAUUAAUGUUUACCUUUCCCACUGCAUAACCAAAUGUCAUUAACUAUCAAAUUAGUCGCAAAUAAGCCAAAUAUCACCAACGGGUUGCUACCUUGAUGCUUUAUAUUUCUUCUAUGUGUCUUGCUGUCCCCUUCAAGUAACUGACGCGCCCGGUCGAUCCCAAAGGUUGCUAUUUCCUUGUGGAGUUUCUUAUUGACAUAGAUCUGAACAAAAAUGGAGGGACCAAAUAAAUUUCAGAUUUAGGAGUCAGGAACUAACAGUUGUAAAUCCACACCAAUGAACACAAAUACAACCUGAUUAUGUGGCAGACCUUUAACAGGAAAGGUAAAAUCUGUAGCAUAGUUUGCAACUUAAAAUUAUAGGUCACUAAAGUGCAUGCCACAACAUAAGCAAAAUUCAUCUAACAAACCUCGAGCUUGUGUACGACUGUCUUAUUAAGCACAUCAUGCUGACAUGCAAACUCGUGAUUGGAAAAAAGAAGUUACUCUAGCGAAAACUGGUGCUAAGCAGUAAUGGGAGCUAGAGGGAGCACCGCUUCUGAACAUUCUAAAACAAUGAAAAGGCGUGCUUACAUCUAUGAAGCUAAAAAUAGUACACCGAACCAUAUUGAUUGAAUACGGGUAACAACGGAAAAACAAUUAAUUGGAGUGCAGAAUCUGCAUAGAAUAGAACCGGAACACAUCAAUCUAGGCAUCUAACUAGCUUCUGCCAUCAGGGUUGCUUGCUAAUUGCAACAAUAUUCAUAACUGAAGAUUCAAUGAGAACUACCAAGGGAUAAAAAAAGGGAACUGAAUCUGUUCACUCAAUGUGUGCAUGACCUGCAAUGUCCUCACAUAUGAGUAAUUCAUCAAAGAAACCAUAAAAAAUUCAUCAAACAAAAAACACAAAUGGAAGGCAAGCUUACCUGAAUGGGGAUUGCCCGUGACCUGGAUCUCGUCGUUCGCGUGCUGGUGAUCUGCUACUAUUUGAACAACAACUCUGCCCGCUGAUGCUGUCCAAACUGUGCAAAUUUAUCCAUACUAUCCCUGCAAUUGUUAAGAUCAAAAUCAGCAUCUUUUACAACUAAUGCAGAGUAUGAAUUUCUCGGCAGACAAAAAAGGCUUUGUAGAUUCAGUAUAGUUGACACAAACAAAAUGCAGUACCUGCUUUCCUCAAGAACCCGUGUCUGAAAGAUGUGGAGAGAAAAUUGCAAAAUAUGAGCAUUAGUACUUCUUAGGUAUCACAGAAAUUCAAUGCAACUUCAACAAGACCAGCGCUUGCUUUUCACACUAUUGAAAAUUCACGUCUUCCAUAUUUGAUCCACCUUUCCGCUGGGCAAAACAACAAAUAUGUGGGGGCAAAAUAUCUAUUUAUGCUCAGAAAAGAAAUUACCAAAUAUCCGGCCACGAGCGCGUGUGUGAGAGGACCGAGGAGAGAGUGUGCGUGACAGCGAGAGAGGAUGAAGGCAAGGACGUGGGGGCUGAUCUCUCGGGUGGAUGGACGGCAGCGCGAAAGCCGGACGGAGCUGGCCGUCUCUGCAGCCCACGCUCCUCUUGCCGACGAUGGCGCCGUGGACCACCGCUGCGACUCAAGCUCCUCCCGGGGUCGCUGCUGCACGCGUGGAGAUGGAGGCGGGGUGCAGCCUUCCGUGCAUCGCGCACGAGCCCCAGCCUCCUCGCAGCUCCCGAUCCAGGAACGGGUCGAGCCGCCGCCAACCGUCAGAUCGAGCCCGACCUCGCCGGCGCAGGCCGACGCCGGCCGGUGACCCUCUCCCGUCAGCCGCCACACCUCACUCUCCUCUUCCCUCUCUCUUUCUCCCUCCUCUCCUUCCUUCUCUCUCUCUCAUCUUCUCUCUCUGCCGGGGUUCGUGCGGGAGGAGGGGAUUGGGAAGGCGGCGCAAAGGAGAGGGAGGAAGGAGAGGAGGCAGUGCGGAUAUUUUCUAGGGCUCGGCUCACUCCACCCAGAACGAGGUACACCUUAGUCAUGAUAAAAAGCAACUGAUUACUG
rnacentral:lncRNA from 1 species